rnacentral:rRNA from 1 species
GACGAACGCUGGCGGCGUGCUUAACACAUGCAAGUCGAACGGAAAGGCCCUGCUUGCAGGGUACUCGAGUGGCGAACGGGUGAGUAACACGUGGGUGAUCUGCCCUGCACUUCGGGAUAAGCCUGGGAAACUGGGUCUAAUACCGGAUAGGAGCCAUUUUUAGUGUGAAGGUUGGAAAGUUUUUUCGGUGUAGGAUGAGCUCGCGGCCUAUCAGCUUGUUGGUGGGGUAAUGGCCUACCAAGGCGGCGACGGGUAGCCGGCCUGAGAGGGUGGACGGCCAAAUUGGGACUGGGAUACGGCCCAGACUCCUACGGGGGGCAGCAGGGGGGAAUAUUGCACAAUGGGCGCAAGCCUGAUGCAGCGACGCCGCGUGGGGGAUGACGGCCUUCGGGUUGUAAACUCCUUUCGCUAGGGACGAAGCUUUUUGUGACGGUACCUAGAUAAGAAGCACCGGCUAACUACGUG